GAGUUUGAUCCUGGCUCAGAACGAACGCUGGCGGCGUGGAUAAGACAUGCAAGUCGAGCGCUGAUUACGAGGUAGCAAUAUUUCGUAGUUGGAGCGGCGCAAGGGUGCGUAACACGUGGGUAAUCUGCCGUGAAGUCUGGAAUAACUUGCUGAAAGGCGAGCUAAUGCCGGAUGUGAAAAUUGGGAGGCAUCUUUUGAUUUUCAAAGUUGGGGACCGUAAGGCCUGACGCUUCACGAUGAACCCGCGGCCUAUCAGCUAGUUGGUGAGGUAACGGCUCACCAAGGCUAAGACGGGUAGCUGGUCUGAGAGGACGACCAGCCACACUGGAACUG
rnacentral:rRNA from 1 species